ACAAUUAGCUGUUGGGACACUAGAUGUNUUAGUAGCGAAGCUAACGCGUGAAAUUGUCCGCCUGGGGAGUACGGUCGCAAGAUUAAAACUCAAAGGAAUUGACGGGGACCCGCACAAGCGGUGGAUGAUGUGGAUUAAUUCGAUGCAACGCGAAGAACCUUACCUGGUCUUGACAUGUACGGAAUCUCUUAGAGAUAGGAGAGUGCCUUCGGGANCCGUAACACAGGUGCUGCAUGGCUGUCGUCAGCUCGUGUCGUGAGAUGUUGGGUUAAGUCCCGCAACGAGCGCAACCCUUGUCAUUAGUUGCCAUCAUUAAGUUGGGCACUCUAAUGAGACUGCCGGUGANANACCGGAGGAAGGUGGGGAUGACGUCAAGUCCUCAUGGCCCUUAUGACCAGGGCUUCACACGUCAUACAAUGGUCGGUACAGAGGGUAGCGAAGCCGCGAGGUGAAGCCAAUCUCAGAAAGCCGAUCGUAGUCCGGAUUGCACUCUGCAACUCGAGUGCAUGAAGUCGGAAUCGCUAGUAAUCGCAGGUCAGCAUACUGCGGUGAAUACGUUCCCGGGUCU
rnacentral:rRNA from 1 species